AUUGAACGCUGGCGGCAGGCUUAACACAUGCAAGUCGAGCGAGCGGCGGACGGGUGAGUAAUGUCUGGGAAACUGCCUGAUGGAGGGGGAUAACUACUGGAAACGGUAGCUAAUACCGCAUACCAUCAGAUGUGCCCAGAUGGGCUUGGCUAGUAGGUGGGGUAAUGGCUCACCUAGGCGACGAUCCCUAGCUGGUCUGAGAGGAGGACCAGCCACACUGGAACUUGGACACGGUCAAGAGUCCUACGGGAGGCAGCAGUGGGGAAUAGUGCACAAUGGGCGCAAGCCUGAUGCAGCCAUGCCGAGUGUGUGAAGAAGGCCUUGGGGUUGUAAAGCACUUUCAGCGAGGAGGCGUUACUCGCAGAAGAAGCACCGGCUAACUCCGUGCCAGCCGCCGCGGUAAUUC
rnacentral:rRNA from 1 species